CACCUUUUUAGUCUCAUUUUAAAAGAAGAGGCCCCUUAGGCAAAUGAUAAAAAACAUAAUGGACAUCAAGAUUUCGUUCUCAUGUAUAUUACUGUACAUAUCAAUUACCCCUUAAAUCUCGCACAACUUAUCAAUAUUAAGUGUAUUGUUACAUCUAUAAUUUUAAGUAGUUUGGUUAAUUAUAUUGAUUUGACUCUUGGCAGAUAAAAUUUUGUUUUAUGGGGAAAAUGUGGAUUUAGAUAAUUAAAAGGACAAAAUGAGUUUGUGUUUUCGACAUGAAAUACAUGAUUUUGUUUGUAUUUGUGAGAAAAUGUAUAAAAACCUACAGAAUUGAGGUUUCAUGGUACAGCAAACUUUUUUUCAAACGAAAAAUUAUUUCUGGCUCUUUCAUCCAAAAUUUACCCAAAAAAAUGUUUGAAUUCUUGUUCUUUUUCACAAAUUCUCUAUCACUUGUAAAUAAGUAUUUUCAUAUUUUACAUAUAAUACUUUCAUUAUGUAAAUAAUUUUAAUGAGGAGUUUCCUUAUACAACACUUUUAUAUAUGUAAAUAAUGAUUUCCAUAUUUUAAUAUUCAUUUGAUAGAUAUUUGUUAAAUUUGACACUAGACUUUGAAUUUUAAUCUCUUUUCCUUAAUGAAUUGUAAAGUUUGUUCUUUGUUUAAUAAUUAUUUAAAAUAAAAAAAGAUAUUAAUGUGCAAUCUGUUUUUGUUCGUUUUUUCUCUUGUACAAUAAUUCUACCAUAUUAAAGUGUUGGGUAGCAAAAGUCUAUGUCACUAUUAGGUGUUUUAUACUGAGUUUAUUAGUUCUUAAUGAAAUAAGAUUAAAUGAUUGUUUUACUUUUGUUGAUACAGGGAUACAUUGCUAUGUCACAUGUUGGUGUUGACUAAAAGAGUGUCACUGCUAUGUCACAUGGUAGUGUUGACUAUAAGAGUGUCACUGCUACGUCACAUGUUGGUGUUGAGUAUAAGAGUGUCGUUGCUAUGUCACAUGUUGGUGUUGCCUAUAAGAGUGUCACUGCUACGUCACAUGUUGGUGUUGACUAUACGAGUGUCAUUGUUACGUCACAUGUUGGUGUUGACUAUCAAAGUGUCAUUGCUAUGUCAAAAGUUGUUCAAUAGACAUGUUAAAUGAAUGAGUAAAUUUGACUGAGUAAGAAUUGUUUACUAUAUAUUCAAUUAUUAAUGUUAAUACUGUUAUUAAACAUAUAAAACUGAAACUAGGUUACACAUAAUUAACAUCUAGACUUUUGAUUCUUUUGAUCAUACUUUUUAUCCUGUUUACAAAACUUUAGAUUUUCGAAAAACUAAGGAGUUUCUUAUCCCAGGCAUAGAUUACCUUAGCCGUAUUUGGCACAACUUUUUGGAAUUUUGGAUCCCCAAUGCUCUUCAAUUUUGUACUUGUUUGGCUUUAUAAAUAUUUUGAUCUGAGCGUCACUUAUGAGUCUUAUGUAGACGAAACGUGCGUCUGGCGUAUUAAAUUAUAAUCCUGGUACUUUUGAUAACUAUUAUAGGAAACAUUCCAUAGCAAUGACAAAUCUUUCACAUUGACAUUUAAAUUUUGCAUUACUUUGUGUAUGUUUUAUUUUCUUUUAUUUAUUGAGGGUAAAAAUAUGAUGAGGCCAAUUUAUAAAUACUGUGAAAUCAUUUAAAAAUGAAAGGCAAAUGCUUGGUAAUGUCAUCGAAAAUGGGAAAUCAUGAGUUAAGAUACUCAUUAAAAUACAAUAUUCAAAUUCAAUAUUUUAAUUGGAGCAAUUAAAGUUAUCCCUAGUAUACAGGUAUACAUUCUCCACAUUUAGAAAAAAAAAUGUUAUAAAGUGUUAAGAUUUUGAAGUUACUGUGAAUUCAUUUUAUUUUGGGUAGAUUUAGAAAAUAUUGUUGAUAUUGGAUUUUAAGGUUUUGCCAAAGUCUGUAAAUAGAUUGUACUCUGUUGAACAUUUAAAUAGUAAACCUAUACUCACAAAAAAAACCGAAUUUCCACGAAUAGUAAUGAAUCAACAGUACUAGGUACUCAGAAGCUUAUUUUGUAUUUAUAACUAAAACUACUGUACAUUUUGCAAGUACUUGUACCUUGUUCUAGCUUGUCAAUAAUAAUUGUAUUUAAAUAUAUUUUACAUUGUAAGUUAUCUCCCAUUCUUGUAAAAUUUAUGUUUCAUUGUGAAUUUAUUGAUGAUGAAGAGAAAUGAAUCACUUUUAUAAAUUUAUGUUCUUACAAUUUUA